UGUUAGUUACUCAUUUUUGCCAGCUGAGUAGACUGAAGCAACGAGAAAUGAAGUGUUUUGGUCAAGAGCACAACGUGUCGCCCAGUCCAGGAUUGAAACAACA